GACGGAGUGAAGGUGGAGGGGCCGUAACCAUGGCUACAGAAGACACACCCAUGACAUCGCGCAAUGCAUAGUGGAUAUUCACCGCAGCACUCCAGGAGUGAGAGCCUCCGCCGCAAAACGUCUCGGCUAUUUGAACUAAUUCUCGUUUGGAUUCUUAACAACAGGUGUGGCUUUGAUCGCCGAUAUAAAUCCAAGUGUCCUGUGAUCCAGCUUCUCUUUUGUCCAUUCUAACUUUCUACCUUUCUCUAUCUAACCUAGAAAGACAUUCUGUCUCUCUAUUCUUGUAAUAUGUAUGUCUUAUAGACAUUCUAUCUAUCUAUCCUUUUUUUUUUUUGGAAAAACACACAAACAAUUCCGAACAAUUCCAAAACAACUAUCUGCAAUAUACUUGAUAGCAACAUACAAAGUCGAACUUCAUACCUGAUCAAUAUACCUCUCGUCUUUUCUUGUACAAGGCAUUUAUCAAACACUGCGACAUCUGGAUACAGUCAUCACUCAGCAGAAUUGACUUUUUUAAUGUGCAUUUUUCAUUACUGGCAUUAACACAUUGGUUUAACAUUACCUUGAAAACCUAUUUGCAAAGACACAUGGCACAUUAUUCUACAUAAAGGACACAUACAGAAUUUAAUGUACUUCUACGUUGCCUGACACAUAACAUAUUGGAUUACUUCACAUGGUCGACACUGCAAUCGUUUGCCAUCGCUGUUAUUGUUGUACUGUCUUUGUUGAAGUACAGCAGCAAUGCCAAAGAAGGGUAAGAGGUCCCAAGCAGGAAAACGACGCUGGCAGAAGUUUCGUGAGUUUAAAAAAGCAAACGAACAAGCAGAAUGUGUUCAUUUCCAAGUGUCACAUAUUGUCAUUGUAAAGACAGAACAUGUCAGUGACGAUGAGUUUGUGGCAGGACCUUCUAAUGCCGGUGAUGUCUCUAAUAGCAUUGUGCAUGAAAUAGCCAUUAAAGUGGAAACUAAACCAGAACCGUGUAAUUAUGUGCUGGUUCCUGUCGAAUUACAUGAUGCUCCACAAACUACAUCUGGUCCUCUGACACAUACUGCAGUCAGUGAUGAUGUCUCGCAUGCCAUCUCUUGUAAAAUCUCCAAACUGAAUAUAAAUCGAAGGCGCAAAUUUAAGAGGAGGCUGUUGGCAUCUCAAAAAGUGGCCCGAAAAAAUGUGAAGGAGGAAAUGCUCUAAAGGACACAGACAAAGAAAACGAGAGUAUGCUACAAACCAAUAUCGAAACAACGCAGAAUCGCAACACAAGAAAAUGCAAAAUAUAACUACUAAGUACAGAGGAAAUCUUCAGUUUAGACAGCAGAAGAAACUAUAUAUUACCAACCGAUACAGAGGAAAUGUCAAUUUGGGGGAGAGACAAAAACAGUACAUUACUUGUCAGUACAGGGACAAUCUUGAUUUCAGAAUGAGGCAAAAGCAGUACGUUAUUCGUCAGUACAGGAACCAGACAAAAACUGUACAUUACUAGCUUGUACAGACAUAAUCGUAAUUUCAGGCACAGGCAGCCACAGUCUUAUAUCACUCAACGUUAUGAACAUGAUCAAGCAUUCAGAUCUAGACACAGACAAGUCAUGAGGCAACAAAUGAGGAACCGGUACAAGUACAAUCUCACAUUUAGGACGAUGCAUAACAUGAGGUGUGCGUUGAAAAUUAAAAAAAAAUAAAAAAUUCAAGCUGAAUAAUAGACAGACACGUGACAGUCCCAUAGAAAAUGACAACUCUGUCGUCAAACAUGCCAUAUCUAUUUUCAAAUCACAUAUAAAGGAAGGUCCCACUUAUGUGUGCACUGUGUGUCACAAAGCAUCUUUUCCAAAUCAAGUGAAACUCUGCACAAGGUCUAAUUAUAUCAAAAAUCCAGACGUGGCUGCAGCAUGUUUAACAGGAAAGUACGUUCAUAUAUGUGACAAUGACCUGCUGAGAGAAAUAGAGAGUGUAUUUGUUCAACCUGCCAUACGCACCUUAAAAAUGGAGCUAUGCCAACCCUAGCUGUAGCUAACAACACAGAGCUAGCUGAUAUCCACCUGAACUGUCUGAUCUCAACGUAUUGGAGAGACAUCUGAUCUACCAAGUGCAUACCAUUUACCAAAAUUAUUUCACUUCCAAAAGACCAACAGACAGCAAUUCGUGGUAAUGUUGUAUGUGUCCCAUCAGAGGUGACAGAGACAGUCAAUUCUCUGCCCAGACUUAGAGAUCAGUCUGAGGUUCUGAGAUUAAAACUGAAGAGACGGUUAUGUUACAAAGGUCAUCAGCUCUUCCAGACUGUAACCUGGUCUAAACUUGUGCAAGCACUACAUAAACUGUAACAUAUUGUCAUGACCUUAGGGGUCAUAAUUUGUAUUCUGUCUUAGUUUUCUGUUAUCCCUCCCUGUCCAGGGGGGGAGCUUUAUCACUUUGUGUUCCAAAAUGUACCCUUUCAGGUGGAUGUUGCUGAUUGGAGGAAUCCAAACAGCAGCAGACUUGGCCCCCUCUGUCUCGCUCGUCCUGGCCUUCUUGCUCAUCCACGCACCGCGAUCCUCUCUCUCUAAAGGCUCCGACCCGAGCUGGCCUUUGUGGCAUUAGUGUUGUUUCACUUGUGUUUUACUGAGAUUUUGCAUCUUAUCUGUAAAUAUUGUAAAUAAUAUAAGUAUUAUGUGGUGCAGUUUGGUAGGGGUGAGUAGCCUUUUUCUUUGUGCAAUCUUUUCUCCUGUUUUUGGUUAGGGAGUGAGGUAAGAAACCUGUUUUUUUGUUGGCUCUUAUUUUGGGAAUAGGCAAGUGAGAUUUAAACCCAGCUUGUUUUAUUUAUUAUUUUAGGCGAUGCUCACCCUGAAGUCUUUAAUUUCGUUUGGGUAAAUAAAUCCCCUCACCUUUUGGACUGCA